AACGAACGCUGGCGGCGCGUCUUAAGCAUGCAAGUCGAACGGCAAGAUUGGUGCUUGCACCGAUCCUAGAGUGGCGGACUGGUGAGUAACGCGUGGGUGACGUACCCUAAGGAUGGGGAUAGCUGGUAGAAAUAUCAGAUAAUACCGAAUAUCCUUAUUGUUGUUAGAGGACAGUAAGGAAAGGAGCUUUGGCUUCGCCUAAGGAUCGGCCCGCGUACUAUUAGCUAGUUGGUGAGGUAACGGCUCACCAAGGCGACGAUAGUUAUCCGGCCUAAGAGGGUGAACGGACACAUUGGGACUGAGAUACGGCCCAGACUCCUACGGGAGGCAGCAGCUAAGAAUAUUCCGCAAUGGAGGAAACUCUGACGGAGCGACGCCGCGUGGAUGAUGAAGGCCGGAAGAUUGUAUAAUCCUUUUAAGCAAGAAGAAUAAACUUUACAGGGAAUGGUAGAGUGGUGACGGUAUUGCUUGAAUAAGCAACGGCUAAUUACGUGCCAGCAGCCGCAGUAACAC
rnacentral:rRNA from 1 species